UACGUAGGGUCCGAGCGUUGUCCGGAGUUACUGGGCGUAAAGCGCGCGCAGGCGGCGGUGCUGGCCCGGCGUGAAAGCCCCCGGCUCAACCGGGGAGAGUCGUCGGGGACCGCACCGCGUUGAGGGCGGUAGGGGCUGGUGGAAUGCCUGGUGUAGUGGUGAAAUGCGUAGAGAUCAGGCAGAACACCUGGGGCGAAGGCGGCCAGCUGGGCCGUCCCUGACGCUGAGGCGCGAAGGCGUGGGGAGCGAACGGG
rnacentral:rRNA from 1 species